rnacentral:rRNA from 1 species
AGCGGAAGGCCUAACACAUGCAAGUCGAACGGUAACAGAUCUAGCUUGCUAGAUGCUGACGAGUGGCGCACGGGUGAGUAACGCGUAUGCAAUCUACCUAUAACUGAGGGAUAGCCCAGAGAAAUUUGGAUUAAUACCUCAUAAUAUUAUUAUUUGGCAUCAUUUAAUAAUUAAAACUCCGGUGGUUAUAGAUGAGCAUGCGUUCUAUUAGCUUGUUGGUGAGGUAAGAGCUCACCAAGGCAACGAUAGAUAGGGGGCCUGAAAGGGUGAUCCCCCACACUGGUACUGAGACACGGACCAGACUCCUACGGGAGGCAGCAGUGAGGAAUAUUGCACAAUGGAGGAAACUCUGAUGCAGCCAUGCCGCGUGCAGGAUGACGGCCCUAUGGGUUGUAAACUGCUUUUUUACAAGAAGAAACCUUGGUACGUGUACCAACUUGACGGUAUUGUAAGAAUAAGCACCGGCUAACUCCGUGCCAGCAGCCGCGGUAAUACGGAGGGUGCAAGCGUUAUCCGGAUUUAUUAGGUUUAAAGGGUUCGCAGGCGGAAUUUUAAGUCAGUGGUGAAAGCCUACAGCUCAACUGUAGAACUGCCAUUGAUACUGAUAUUCUUGAGUAUAGAUGAAGUGGGCGGAAUAUGUCAUGUAGCGGUGAAAUGCAUAGAUAUGACAUGGAACACCAAUUGCGAAGGCAGC